AAAGAAAAAAAAAGGAAAAAAAUACAUUUACAUAUAUAUACAUAUAUAUAUAUUUAUAUUUAUUCCCUUCAUUAAUAUUCUUUUUACUUUAUUUUUUAACCAGUGUUCCUCAU
rnacentral:ribozyme from 12 species